rnacentral:rRNA from 1 species
AAUUUGACUCAACACGGGGAAACUUACCAGGUCCAGACAUGGGAAGGAUUGACAGAUUGGAGAUCUUUCUUGAUUCCAUGGAUGGUGGUGCAUGGCCGUUCUUAGUUGGUGGAGUGAUUUGUCAGGUUAAUUCCGAUAACGAACGAGACCUCAACCUGCUAACUAGUUGCAGCUUCUUUCAAGUUGUAGACUUCUUAGAGGGACUAUAGGAUUUAACCUAAGGAAGUUUGAGGCAAUAACAGGUCUGUGAUGCCC